UCCGUGUUAACCACGGCAGUCUCCCUAGAGAGCCCAACUGAAUGCUGGCAACUAAGGACAAGGGUUGCGCUCGUUGCGGGACUUAACCCAACAUGUCACCACACGAGCUGACGACAGCCAUGCAGCACCUGUCUCCUCGUCGUAUUGCUACGAACCCGAUGUCUCCAUCGGUUGCGAGGGAUGUCAAAUCCAGGUAAGGUUCUUCGCGUUGCUUCGAAUUAAACCACAUGAUCCACCGCUUGUGCGGGCCCCCGUCAAUUCCUUUGAGUUUUAGUCUUGCGACCGUACUUCCCAGGCGGGGUACUUAGUGCGUUAGCGCCGAUUCGGCAGGGGUCAAGACCCGCCAAACCUAGUACCCAUCGUUUACAGCGUGGACUAC
rnacentral:misc_RNA from 1 species